ensembl:lncRNA
ACUUUUGAUCAAUUUAAUGCAUCCUUGGCAGAAAAAACAGAGGUACUGAGUGAAGACCUGCUGCAGGUGGAGAAGCGUUUAGAUCUGGUAAAGCAGGUCUCUCAUAGCACACAUAAGAAGCUGACCGCCUGUCUGCAGGGACAACAAGGCGCCGAUUUAGACAAGAGAUCAGUCAAAUCUCCCUCGAAAAAGUUGCCCCUGACGAUACUUGCUCAGUGUAUGGUGGAGGGAGCGGCUGUGUUAGGAGACGACUCUCUUCUUGGUAAGAUGCUGAAGCUCUGUGGUGAGACAGAGGAGAAGUUGGCCCAAGAGCUGCUCGUCUUUGAGCUUCAGAUUGAAAGAGAUGUUGUGGAGCCUCUGUAUGUGCUGGCUGAGGUGAUGAGCAUUAACAGCAAACUUGUCUUGGACAUGGAUUCUGCGAGGACACGGUGGCAACAGUCAUACAAAUCGUCAGGUCACCCCAGUAAUGUGCAGCAGGGCGGAGCUAAGGCGGAUUCCUUGAGAGAGGAAAUGGAAGAGACGGCCAAUCGGAUGGAGAUCUGCAGGGACCAGUUAUCAGCGGAUAUGUACAACUUUGUGGCCAAAGAAAUAGACUAUGCAAACUACUUUCAAACGCUCAUAGAAGUUCAGGCGGAGUAUCACAGGAAGUCUUUGGAGAUUCUGCAGAGUGUGCUGCCACAGAUCAAAGCUCACCAGGAGGCCUGGAUAGAGAAGCCAUCGUAUGGAAAGGCCCUAGAGGAACAUCUAGCCAUCAGUGGCAGGGAGAUUGCGUUUCCUAUCGAGGCGUGUGUCACCAUGCUGCUCGAAUGUGGCAUGGAGGAAGAGGGUUUAUUUCGGGUGGCCCCCUCAGCCUCCAAGCUGAAGAAACUGAAGGCAUCACUGGACUGCGGGGUCCUGGAUGUGCAGGAGUACUCGGCCGACCCACAUGCCAUCGCAGGAGCCUUGAAGUCUUAUCUUCGUGAACUUCCUGAACCUCUAAUGACCUUUGAACUCUAUGAUGAAUGGAUUCAAGCUUCAAAUAUUCAAGAUAUGGAUAAAAGACUCCAAGCCCUUUUGUGUACAUGUGAGAAACUACCAGCAGACAGUCUAAACAAUCUCAGAUAUUUAAUAAAAUUCUUAGCCAAACUCACGGAGCAUCAAGACGCUAAUAAAAUGACGCCAGGUAAUAUUGCAAUAGUUCUUGGACCCAACCUGCUGUGGACACAUUCAGAAGGGAACAUGACGGAAAUGAUGACCACCAUGUCCCUGCAAAUCGUCGGCAUCAUUGAGCCGAUCAUCCAGCACGCUGACUGGUUCUUCCCUGGAGAUAUUGAGUUCAAUCUGACAGGCAGCUACGGCAGCCCGGUCCACACCAACCACAACUCAAACUACAGCUCUAUGCCCUCACCCGAUAUGGACCAAUCAGAGCGCAAGCAGCAGCAUGACCAGAGCCGACGCCCACUCAGUGUUGCUACUGACAACAUGAUGCUGGAAUUCUACAAGAAGGAUGGCAUUAGGAAAAUUCAAAGUGUGGGUGUCAGAGUCAUGGACACAUCGUGGGUGAAGGGCAAAAGUUCCUCUACACUGGCCCGCAAAGCCUCAUCCACGCCUCCCAGCGCACAACCACCCGGCUCUCCUGCGGACACGCUGAUCACUGAGCAGCCCGGUGAGCUGGCCACAUCUCCAAUCCCCACUCCCCCUCCUGGAGACAGGGGCAGCUCAGACGACGUGUCGCCCAAUCGGCCGGAUUCCUCACAUGUCUAUUCGUCCCACGCGGAGGAGCGGCCACCCCCUCCGUACCCUUCCUCGUCCUCCCAUCCCGGCCCUCACCACUUCUACCCCAAGCCCCCUCCCUGCACUCGGCCGGUCGCCCCCGGUCCUGAGUCCCAGCCACCCAGCUCCCCGCCCCUGCGCUGGACAGGCUUCGGCCCACCACUUCCCCUACCCCAACCACCCCCGUCUUCUUCCUCCUCCCCCUCACUCGAUAUCAACCCCAACCCCAAGCCUAGCUGCCUGCCCUUUCCCAAACACGCAUUAGUAGAGUCAAUAUUAGCCAUUUUUCUAAUGGUGUUGACUGUGUAUUGCAAUGACACAGGUUCCCCUCCCCAUCUACCCUCAAGACCAUUCAUUCAAACAUUGCAGGGAACUGCAGUCAUGUUUGUCUCUCUCUCCAGCACUCUGAAGAGCAAGGAGCUCUCUCCUGUGAUUGGCCACAAAGCUAUGCAGGCAUCAGGAGUAACAGUGCCCCCUGUCAGCGGUCAGCAGAGCAACAGCCAGUCUCCCCACUCUGCCGAGCACAGCCCCCACACCUUACGUAAUGCCUCUAAGAAACUGGCCCCUGUGCCGCCCAAGGUUCCAUACGGCCAGUCGGGGGGGAUGUCAGACCAAUCCACAGGUCAGCCGUCUCCGGUCAGCCUGUCCCCCACUCCCCCAAGUACCCCCUCCCCAUACGGUUUGGGCUGUCCCCCUGGACACGCGCCCACCUCUUCCCCUGGCCAGACCCCAUUAGGGGGAUCCCAUACGUUGUCCUCACUGCCCUCUCUGACUGGUACGCUCACAAAGUCCCGACCCACCCCAAAGCCCAGACAGAGACCCAGUCUACCCCCUCCCCAGCCACCCACCGUCCCCCCUACGGCCCCCCAGCCCCUGGAGCAGGGUCUACUUGACGGAUUGUCCCCCGGGGAGAGCAUGUCCACAGGUAAACAUGCCUCAGUGGCAACAUCCCAAGUGGGAGGCCAGCGUCCCUCUCUCAAACUGUCUGUCUCUCCGUCCUACGCAGGCGAUGGACUUUAAGGAGCCAGAUCCCCUUAUGAAAUGUGAAGACAUAUGUCUUAAAUAUGGAGUGCCCAUAGAUUCAGUUGCCUUUGAGAUAUAUAGUAUGAUAAUUAUUUUUGAACCCCUAGGAUUAUAUUUUAGCUCAAGGAUUUUAAGAUAAAAUGGAAACAAAGGGAAUUCACUUUAAGCUCAAGGACAUACUGUAUAUAUUUUACUACAAAGUGAAGUGUGUAAUUCUUGCAUCACCAGUGAAAAAAUAAUGACUUUCCAUACAGAGUUUGCACAGACUCUUCUGCUCCACCACAAGCAGGUAGUCUUGUACCAAUUUCAUGCUAUUGCUUGAGCCAGAAGUUGUUGGACAUUGGACCGCUCAAAGCAAGCAAGCAGUGUUUUAAAAGCACACUGAGUUUACAUUCUUUGGGGUGAAAAAAAGAGUAAAAAUUGGCAAGUACUUGCGGAAAAUCUUCUAAUAGCUUUACAUUCAACUUUCAGGGAUUGAAAGGUUGUGGUGCGGUCAUAUUUGCCAUGGUUUAGUGAAUUUUCACAGGUGAAAUCCAGUAAUUUCAACAAGAAUCCAAGUGAUCAGGAAUCACACGUGAGGGUGAACUGUUUCCCCAUGCACAAAUUUAAUAGGAAACACAAAUUGGUUGCAUGGAAAGAAUUUGAACUUGCUGAAAAUCAACUCCAAGUUGAUUGAUUGAUUAGCUUUACGUUCAACUUUUAGGAGUACAGGUGCAGUCACAUUUACCAUUGUUCAGCGAAUUUUCACGGGUUCAGUCGUUUCAAUAGGAAUCAGGAAUAACCAGGCUAGAGAUAUCCAGAUGCAGAUUUCGCAAAGGGUUUAAAUUGGUCACAUGAAAAAAAAAAAAAGAAAAAUGUCAAGCACUUGCUGAAAAUCGUCAACUUCAAAUUUAUGGGUAGCUUUGCUUUCAACUUUCAGGAGUAUGUGUAUUCACAUUUCUAGAAUUUCUUUCAGGUGAAAGAUUUUCCCACACAGAUUUCAUAAGAAAUACAAAUUUGUCACACUGAAAAAAUUGGCAAGUGCUAGCUAAAAAUCAUUUCAGGACUGACGGUGCAGUCACAUUUACCACCAGGUUUUCUCAUAAAGUUGCCUGUAAACAACAAAAUACAAACAAACUGAACUUCAGGUGGUCACGUUACAAACUGCUAUUUUGACCAGACUCUAUGCUGCAAGUUGAAAGUUUGGCUUCAUGAGACUGACCUACAGGGGCGUUGCACAAGAUCCCGGGCCCUAUGCAUAGGCAGUCCUGAUAGGCCCCCAUGCCCCCCCCCGAAAAUAUCCAGGUGAAAUAAAAUAUAUUCCAGACUUUUCA